GAGAGGGACUAGAGAAGAUAAAGCAAGGUUACAGUCUAGUCCAAGGCACUUACCGAGCUCCCUGUGCUCGGAGAAGAACCGUAAAGCGGCGUGGGGUUUGAGACGAGGUCACAACUUUUUACGGACCACAGAAAACCCAACCAGACAUCCGGGAAGCGCAGAUCAAGGAAAUUCACGUUUUCUACUGUUUUUCCCCUCCUUGGAGAUGGCGGACGUGAGAGCGCAUGAGAACCUAGACCAAUAUGUACUUUCAAUUAAAGAACUUUCCUGUGGAACCGAUAAGGCAUGCAGGAGAAAAAGAUAAAGUCAUUUAGUGACG